CUCCUCUCAGGGUCGCACCUGGAGAGUUUCCAGUACUCUCCCAGUCUCGCCUACGGGAGGGAGAGUCAAGCAGAAGCCAGGCAAUUCUAUUCCUAACUUGGCCAGUGGCUAGCGAGUGGAAGGCAAUCUGCUACAAGU